CCGGCGACGAUGGACCUCGCGCGCGCGCGCGCGAGCGCGUACGAACGGUUACGAUCGGUCGGGGCGUUUCGCGGCGACGACGCGACGCGUCGGGCGACGCGGGACGCGGACGACGCGAUCGAGUGGAUUCAAAAGUCAUUCAGACAGCUCGAGACUUUGAGCGACGACGACGAGGAGGAGGAGGAAGACGAUGGACGCGCGGUGCGUCGCGCGUCGAACGCGUCGCGCGUCGCGCGGUUCGCGUUGGUGUUUUGGUACGAGAGCGUGCGCGUGCGAAAGGGAGCGCGCGCGAGGACGCGCGAGGGGUGACGUCGGGACGCCUUCGGGACGACAAACGUCG
rnacentral:lncRNA from 1 species